rnacentral:sRNA from 1 species
GAUGCUGGGUCCAAUGCCUCUGAUCGUAUCUCUGUCCAUCCUUCUCAUUCCCACCCAGGUACUAUCGUGGUGCAGUGGGGGCCCUCCUGGUGUUUGACCUAACCAAGCACCAGACCUAUGCUGUGGUGGAGCGAUGGCUGAAGGAGCUCUAUGACCAUGCUGAAGCCACGAUCGUCGUCAUGCUCGUGGGUAACAAAAGUGACCUCAGCCAGGCCCGGGAAGUGCCCACUGAGGAGGCCCGAAUGUUCGCUGAAAACAAUGGACUGCUCUUCCUGGAGACCUCAGCCCUGGACUCUACCAAUGUUGAGCUAGCCUUUGAGACUGUCCUGAAAGAAAUCUUUGCGAAGGUGUCCAAGCAGAGACAGAACAGCAUCCGGACCAAUGCCAUCACUCUGGGCAGUGCCCAGGCUGGGCAGGAGCCUGGCCCUGGGGAGAAGAGGGCCUGUUGCAUCAGCCUCUGACCUUGGCCAGCACCACCUGCCCCCACUGGCUUUUUGGUGCCCCUUGUCCCCACUUCAGCCCCAGGACCUUUCCUUGCC